AAAUUGAAGAGUUUGAUCAUGGCUCAGAUUGAACGCUGGCGGCAGGCCUAACACAUGCAAGUCGAACGGUAACAGGAAGCAGCUUGCUGCUUCGCUGACGAGUGGCGGACGGGUGAGUAAUGUCUGGGAAACUGCCUGAUGGAGGGGGAUAACUACUGGAAACGGUGGCUAAUACCGCAUAACGUCGCAAGACCAAAGAGGGGGACCUUCGGGCCUCUUGCCAUCAGAUGUGCCCAGAUGGGAUUAGCUAGUUGGUGAGGUAACGGCUCACCAAGGCGACGAUCCCUAGCUGGUCUGAGAGGAUGACCAGCCACACUGGAACUGAGACACGGUCCAGACUCCUACGGGAGGCAGCAGUGGGGAAUAUUGCACAAUGGGCGCAAGCCUGAUGCAGCCAUGCCGCGUGUAUGAAGAAGGCCUUCGGGUUGUAAAGUACUUUCAGCGGGGAGGAAGGUGUUGUGGUUAAUAACCACAGCAAUUGACGUUACCCGCAGAAGAAGCACCGGCUAACUCCGUGCCAGCAGCCGCGGUAAUACGGAGGGUGCAAGCGUUAAUCGGAAUUACUGGGCGUAAAGCGCACGCAGGCGGUCUGUCAAGUCGGAUGUGAAAUCCCCGGGCUCAACCUGGGAACUGCAUUCGAAACUGGCAGGCUUGAGUCUUGUAGAGGGGGGUAGAAUUCCAGGUGUAGCGGUGAAAUGCGUAGAGAUCUGGAGGAAUACCGGUGGCGAAGGCGGCCCCCUGGACAAAGACUGACGCUCAGGUGCGAAAGCGUGGGGAGCAAACAGGAUUAGAUACCCUGGUAGUCCACGCCGUAAACGAUGUCUACUUGGAGGUUGUGCCCUUGAGGCGUGGCUUCCGGAGCUAACGCGUUAAGUAGACCGCCUGGGGAGUACGGCCGCAAGGUUAAAACUCAAAUGAAUUGACGGGGGCCCGCACAAGCGGUGGAGCAUGUGGUUUAAUUCGAUGCAACGCGAAGAACCUUACCUGGUCUUGACAUCCACAGAAGAAUCCAGAGAUGGAUUUGUGCCUUCGGGAACUGUGAGACAGGUGCUGCAUGGCUGUCGUCAGCUCGUGUUGUGAAAUGUUGGGUUAAGUCCCGCAACGAGCGCAACCCUUAUCCUUUGUUGCCAGCGGUUAGGCCGGGAACUCAAAGGAGACUGCCAGUGAUAAACUGGAGGAAGGUGGGGAUGACGUCAAGUCAUCAUGGCCCUUACGACCAGGGCUACACACGUGCUACAAUGGCGCAUACAAAGAGAAGCGACCUCGCGAGAGCAAGCGGACCUCAUAAAGUGCGUCGUAGUCCGGAUUGGAGUCUGCAACUCGACUCCAUGAAGUCGGAAUCGCUAGUAAUCGUGGAUCAGAAUGCCACGGUGAAUACGUUCCCGGGCCUUGUACACACCGCCCGUCACACCAUGGGAGUGGGUUGCAAAAGAAGUAGGUAGCUUAACCUUCGGGAGGGCGCUUACCACUUUGUGAUUCAUGACUGGGGUGAAGUCGUAACAAGGUAACCGUAGGGGAACCUGCGGUUGGAUCACCUCCUUACCUUAAAGAA
rnacentral:rRNA from 2 species